rnacentral:rRNA from 1 species
UUAUAGACUUACUAAACCGCUGCAAACUUCGAAUACCAAUAAUGGCAGCAUAGGAGACACACUGUGGGUGCUAACAUCCAUAGUGGAAAGGGCAACAACCCAGACCGUCAGAUAAGGUCCCAAAAUCUUAGUUAAGUGGAAAACGAUGUGGGAAGACUAAGACAGCUAGGAGGUUGGCUUAGAAGCAGCCACCCUUUAAAGAAAGCGUAAUAGCUCACUAGUCAAGUUCACCUGCGCGGAAAAUAUAACGGGGCUAAAACUAAGUGCCGAAGCUACGGGUUUGUAUAGAAAAAAUAUAAACGGUAGAGGAGCGUUGUGUAAGUCUGUGAAGGGAUAUUGAAAAGUAUUCUGGAGAUAUCACAAGUGCGAAUGCUGACAUGAGUAACGAAAAGGGAUGUGAGAAACAUCCCCGCCGAAAAACCAAGGUUUUCUGUUCAACGGUAAUCGGAGCAGAGUUAGUCGGUCCUAAGGUGAGGCUGAAAAGCGUAAUCGAUGUAAAAUGGGUUAAUAUUCCCAUACCAUAUGUAAUUGCGAUGGGGGGACGAAGAAGGCUAGACGAGCCCAGCGUUGGUUGUCUGGGUGAAAGUAUGUAGGUUUAGAAAUUAGGUAAAUCCGAUUUCUUAAUAAAACUAAGGUAUGAGACGAAUAGUGAAGUCGUUGAAGCCAUGCUUCCAGGAAAAGCCUCUAAGCUUCAGAUUACAUAUGACCGUACCAUAAACCGACACAGGUGGUUAGGUAGAGCAUACUAAGGCGUUUGAGAGAACUCGGGUGAAGGAACUAGGCAAAAUGGCACCGUAACUUCGGGAGAAGGUGCGCCGAAUUAUUGUAUAAACUAUAACAGUGAAAGCAAGAAUCGGUCUAAGAAAACAGGUGGCUGCAACUGUUUAUUAAAAACACAGCACUCUGCUAACGCGUAAGCGGACGUAUAGGGUGUGACGCCUGCCCGGUGCUGGAAGGUUAAGAGGAGAUGUGAAAGCAUUUAAUUGAAGCCCCAGUAAACGGCGGCCGUAACUAUAACGGUCCUAAGGUAGCGAAAUUCCUUGUCGGGUAAGUUCCGACCUGCACGAAUGGCGUAAUGAUGGCCACACUGUCUCCAUCCGAGACUCAGUGAAAUUGAAAUUGCUGUGAAGAUGCAGUAUACCCGCGGCUAGACGGAAAGACCCCGUGAACCUUUACUAUAACUUCAUAUUGAAAGUGGGUAUUAUUUGUGUAGAAUAGCUGGGAGACAAAGAAGUAAAAACGCAAGUUUGUAUGGAGUCAACAUUGAAAU